rnacentral:rRNA from 1 species
UACAGAGGUCCCAAGCGUUACUGAGAAUCACUGGGUUUAAAGGGUGCGUAGGUGGCACGUUAAGUCAGUUGUGAAAUCCCCGGGCUCAACCCGGGAACUGCUUCUGAUACUGGCGUGCUUGAGGCCAGUAGGGGUCACUAGAACUGACGGUGGAGCGGUGAAAUGCGUAGAUAUCGUCAGGAAUGCCGGUGGUGAAGACGGGUGACUGGGCUGGUUCUGACACUGAGGCACGAAAGCGUGGGGAGCAAACAGG